rnacentral:rRNA from 1 species
GUCCCGCCUGCCCUGUGACUUCGGGUUCAACGGCCGCGGUAUUUUGACCGUGCAAAGGUAGCGCAAUCACUUGUCUCUUAAAUGAAGACCUGUAUGAAUGGCAUCACGAGGGCUUAACUGUCUCCUUUCUCCAGUCAACGAAAUUGAUCUCCCCGUGCAGAAGCGGGGAUAAGCCCAUAAGACGAGAAGACCCUGUGGAGCUUAAGGCUCUGAACAGACUCCCCCACUUCGUUAAUAAACACACACAAAUCCUGUUCCACAUGCCUUUGGUUGGGGCGACCGCGGAGAAACAAAAAACCCCCGCAUGGAUUAAGAAUACAAGAUUUUCCUCUUAUAGCCUAGGACCACACUCCUCAACACCAGAAUUUCUGACCACACACGAUCCGGUAACACCGAUCAACGAACCCAGUUACCCCAGGGAUAACAGCGCAAUUUCCUUCUAGAGCCCGUAUCAACAAGGAAGUUUACGACCUCGAUGUUGGAUCAGGGCAUCCUACUGGUGCAGCCGCUACUAAGGG